AAAGAAACCAAGCAGCUUGUCCAAAGUCACAGUCACAAAAUGCCUAAUCCCUGAUUGAAACCCACCUCUGCAAGGUCUCUGUCAUUCCAUUGCUUCCUAUCAUCCCUUCCCAUGAAAUAGGUACCCAAUCCCUCAUGGCUGGGCUUGGGCACCCUAAGAAUGCUCUUCCAACACCCAUCCCUUCCACCCCUCCCAGCGAGGAGAACAUUGACUAAUUCAUGCUGCAGUUUGCCACAAUCAUAGUGGAGUCCAAUGGACACAUGACUUUGGAAUUGGCUUUCAGAUCACAUUCUCUUCCAGACAGUUCUUCAAGGAACCCACGUUAACCACCGCCCCCCCAUCAGCCUUUCAUGUUCCCCUCACUGACAAGACUCUUCCAAUAAACCAUAUAAAAUAAAUAACCUCAAAUAUAAUUCUUAAUUGCUACCAAGUCGAUGUUUCCUCAUCACUAAACUUUAUUGCUUCCCAAUCUUUAAGACAAACUUCCCUCGGGACUCUGUCCCUUUCAGGAGACAGGCCGAGGAAAGCUGCUUCUCCAAGAUUCUACCUGCAUGUCCCAGACCCAGAGGAUGAACAAGGGUGCCAGGUUGUUCAGAGGCUGCGAGACCAGGAGAGGCCUCGGCGGGUUGGAGCUGGAUGCUAGGAGACAAAAUGGGAAAACAGAUUCGGUAUUUUCGAGGACGUGUCUUUCAAAGCGACUCCCUAGCUCACGCCGACAGCAGAGAAAUAAGGCUCGGAUCCGAAGCCGGAAGGCAUCUCCAAGACCAAGAGCCGAGGCUGACGCCAUCGGCAGGGACUAGCCGUGUUUUGCAAGCAGGACGCGCGUAGGGCCGAGCUGACAGCACUGCUAGCCGUUCCAGUUUUGGAAAGCGAUUUCGCAUAAGUAAUUUAACAGCUAAAUUAAUUACAAAAUAAUUAGAAUUGAUGCUGUUUUAGGAUAAGUUGGUGGUGAUGGGAAACGGCCUUCUUCUAGAUGUUUCAUUUCUACAUUAAUACUUUUGAGGUUGCAACAGCCGAUCUACGAGGACAUCUCCCCAUUCCUGCCCUAUGAUCUCUCACUUCCCACUAACCUAGACUAUGGUUUACUCUCUUAAAAAAGUUUUAAAAAGAGGGGAAUAAAGGGGGGGACGGGGGAUGUGCA
rnacentral:lncRNA from 12 species